GGCAGAAUGGCUGAGUUUCAUAGGCAAUAAACUGUAAAUUUAUCCACGAAUUAAAUUCUUCUGCCA
rnacentral:tRNA from 1 species